UGGACCAGAGGCGGAGAGCAGAGGGGUGAAGGUAACCUGGACCAAAAGCGGAGAGCAGAAGGGUGAAGGUAACCUGGACCAAAAGCAGAGAGCAGAGGGGUGAAGGUAACCUGGACCAAAAGCAGAGAGCAGAGGGGUGAAGGUAACCUGGACCAAAAGCAGAGAGCAGAGGGGUGAAGGUAACCUGGACCAGAGGCGGAGAGCAGAGGGGUGAAGGUAACC